CUACCCUUUUAUUACAGAGUCUCUGACACUAAUUUUGCUGCUUUGAGCACUGAGGAGGGUAGAAUACUAUAUAUUUCCUUUCUACUUAUCAAAUGCAGCAUAAACUCUUGCCUGCAAAACAACAUCUUGGGGAGGGGGGAUCAGGGAACAAUCCAAACCAAAACACAAUGAUCAGCUCAACUUACGUAUUUUAUCAUCAUCGACUAUUUAAAAGUACGAGUGCCAAACCAGACAUUCUAUAACGUUUGGGUGAUAGAAGCAAGUGACAAAAGAUCUGCUAACAUGAAAGUUAUAACUGCAGUAACCUGUGCUUUUACCAUCAUGAUGGUCUUAUCUGCAGUUGAAUCAACUCGUACUCCAAAGAGUAAGUUCAUAGCAAGGAACUGGGGCCCUCAAUCAAUGCUAUACCUCAAAGGACGAUAUGGCCGAAGAUACGCUUCUUCUGAUAAAGAGGAACAAAGUUACAAGAUUGACUUGGAUGAUCCAAAUGCAGUUCUGAAAAGUUAUAGAAACUCAGCACCACUGAAAUUCUUGAACUCCAUAAGAAGAUUAACAGCUAAAAAUAUGGACAUUGAACAUGUGGACUAACAAUUUAUAUGAUUUGCUCUUCAAAUUUUUCAAAUGCUAUAUAUAAUUUUAAAAGUAUUUCAUUGUUGCCUUUUUCCAUUUGUGCUCCUGUGAAAUGCUUUAUGCAAUAUUGAUUAUAACAAAUCAGUCUAUUUAAUCAGAAAAACUGCUUUACCCUAAUAAAUGUGAACAUGAAAAAUGAGAACGUCA
rnacentral:lncRNA from 1 species